AUUGAACGCUGGCGGUAGGCCUAACACAUGCAAGUCGAACGGCAGCACAGGAGAGCUUGCUCUCUGGGUGGCGAGUGGCGGACGGGUGAGGAAUACAUCGGAAUCUACCUUUUCGUGGGGGAUAACGUAGGGAAACUUACGCUAAUACCGCAUACGACCUACGGGUGAAAGUGGGGGACCGCAAGGCCUCACGCGAUUAG
rnacentral:rRNA from 1 species